rnacentral:lncRNA from 1 species
UAGGCCUGUGUGGACAAGGGUUGUCUUUGAUGAGGAAGGCAACACACAGGCUCCACCUGUGUAAAAUUAAUUAUUAUAGAAUAAGUAACUCCAAAAAAAAGACGGGCUUUAUACUGAUGAGAUAUGAAGACGAACGUAUAAAUUCCGAAAAUAGGCUUUUAGCGGCACUUUUUUAGGCCUUUAGCGUGUUUACCAAAGUGCCGGAAAAAACGCUGCUAAAGACUGCGUCGCUAACUUUAGCGGCGUUUUUACCUUUAGCGGCGCUUUUCUCACAGACGUCGCUAAAGACCAGGACCUUUAGUGGCGUUUUUCCCACAAAAUGCCGCUAAAGACUAGGACCUUUAGCGGCGCUUUUCCCACAAACGCCGCUAAAGACCAAGACCUUUAGCGGCGCUUUCUCCAAAAAUGCCGCUAAAGAAGAAGACCUUUAGCGGCGCUUUCCCCAAAAAUUGCCGCUAAAGAACAAGACCUUUAGCGACACUUUUUCCACAAACGCCGCUAUAACAUUAACUUUUAGCGACGCUUUUUUACAGACGCCACUAAAGGCAUAACUUUUUUUAUAAAAAAUUAAGUAAAUAAUAUUUAUUUCUAUAAUAAAUAUUUUAUUUUAUUUUAUUUUUGAAAUUUAAACUUUAAACUAUAUAAUUUUAAGGAUAAAAAAUUUAAUUAAAUUAAAUUUUCUAUUAAAAUUUUAACUUUAAAAGUAAAUAUAAAAAUUAAUGAAUUUAAAUUUAGAAUUAAAAUAUUAUGCCUUGGGAAUUUAAAUUUUAAACAUUAGCUAGUUACUUGCUAUGUUGGCUGACACCGUGUAAGUGCCUUGGGAAUUUAUACGUUCAUCUUCCUGCUUUUGUUUCAUUUUCUUUUCUCCCUCUCCCUCUUCUUUGGUAACUUCGAAGAAGAGAUAAUUACUAGAACCUCUUCAUGGACGAAUGAUUAUGGAGUUUAAGUCGAAAAAUUAGUAAAUUUAGUAAGUUGGUAAGGUUCUCAGUCCUUCAGUGUUUGUAAAUUUAAGAAAAAAUAAUUUAGACUUUUCAGAACCUUUGAAGGGUUCUGCAUGUUUGUGGAAAAUUAAGUUUUAAAUUGAAAUUACUGAGUUUAACUCGAGAUUUUUGUUAUAAUGUUUAGCUGCUAGGAAAAUGGAAGUUCUGGCGUUUGGAAAAGCUAAGCUUGGGAGACAAGAGACAUCAGGUGAGUUUCUAUAUUCCAUCCCUAGAAAUGUUAAAUGGCUGGAAUGAUUAUGUACUCUACUGAUUGUGAAUGCUAAGUACAAGUGGCUCAUUACGGAGGGAUUACAAUCGAUAGCAGGAAACCCCACUUCAAAUCAAAAUGAACUACAAGACUACUAUACAAAAUCGUCGAAACUAAAACUACCAAGCAAAAUAUGAAUAGAUAUGUGGAAAAUUACAAAUGGCUUUAUUCCAACACUUUACAACUUAAAGUAGAAAGGCCUGGUAAGAAACGAUCGAUGCCCGAUGUGCAAGGAGAGGGAGGAAUCAGUGGAACAUAUAUUUCGGGAUUGUACCGUCACAGCAAAGAUCGUGCAAUAAUUGGGUGUGGCAGACUCAACCACCAAUAGAAACCAGGGUUAGAAAAAAUGGUUAGCAAUUUUCUUUCUAAACAACAAUCAUACACAAUUCAAACUGUUAGCCAUGACAUAUUGGUCCUUUUGGUUUAACAGAAAUAAAAUGUACCACGAACACAUUAAACCCAAUAAAACAGAGUUGAUAUCAUUCAUCAGGGCAUAUAUUAUAGAAAAUGAAAUGUUGAAUGGUUUGCUGAUAAUAAAAUCAGUAGACAAAAAUAUAAAAUGGGAACCACCCAAUGCAGAUACUAUCAAAAUAAACUUCGAUGCUUCAUUUCAACAAAAUUAGAACAACUCAAAGUCAGGUAUUAUCACAAGAAAUAACGAGGGACUGGUAAUGGGUGCAUUUAUUUACCGAUGUAGACACAUCGCGAUCCCAACAACGGCGGAGGCAUGGGCGUGCUUGCAUGCAAUCACUUUCGGGGAAGAGUUAGGAUUCCGAGAAAUAUGUUUCGAGGAGGACUCAUUAAUGGUAAUAAGGGGAAUAGAAAUUUCAAAAGUGGCAGAUCAGAUAUUAGCGCAAUAUUAAAAGAAAUAAAAAAGAAAAUCCCUAAUUUCACAAGGAUCACUUUUCGGUACAUACCCAGAACAGCUAACGGUGUGACACAAGCAUUAGCAAGAGAGGGUCGAUGUCAUGAGCUGCCACGAUACUGGAUAGAGGAGGUCCCAGAUUCAUUAGAAGAAGCUGUCAAAUAUGACCGAGAAGGAAGUGAGAGGACAGUUUGAAAAAAGGCGUUGUGAGACCGGAAAAGGUAAAAGGCUAUUACGAGUACUUAGUUCCAUAAGAUGUGAGAAUGAUCACACGAGCUUACAUUGACUGAUAGUGGACACAAGUGAUUCUAUCUGGCACUGGUGCAGGUGUUUAUUUUGGCGAAGAAGAAGAUAGGUAGUGAAAUGGGGAGAUCUGGGUGAUUGCUUAGGUUUUAGAAAGUUCUGUUUUUGUUAGGGUUUGAUUUCAUUAGUACACCGUUUGGGUGCCCAAUAGAAAAUUAGGUUAGUAAAUGCGUGAGGUGGAGAUAUUAUGAGGCACUAUUUGGGUGGCCAUUAGGAGAAUUACAGCUGCUAAAGCUGUUAUUUAGGUUAUGACCUGCUUCAUUUUAUCCCUCAUCAAUGCACCAGUUCAGUUUAUACUAAUGAGAUCUGAAGAUGAACGUAUAAAUUCCCAAGGCACUCACACGAUCUCACAAACAGCCACUUCAGUUACGCUUAUGUUGAUUUUAACCAUGGUUUCUCAAUGCUUCAUUGUAGUUGUCACACCUGAUUUUCAUUAAAUCUUAAAAUUAGGAACAAUUAGAGGUUAAAUUAGAAAAAUCGUAAGUUGAUGACCUCUACUGAAAAAUUAGGAAAAGUUAGUACCUGGUUUAAACAUGAU